UGUUCGUUAUUUAGGGCGCAUGGUGGAUGCCUUGGCAUGCUGAGCCGAUGAAGGACGUGAAAGGCUGCGUUAAGCCUCGGGGAGUUGUCAAUUGAGCGUUGAUCCGAGGAUGUCCGAAUGGGGAAACCUGGCACCUGUUAUGGGGUGUUACCUUGCAGUGAAUUCAU
rnacentral:rRNA from 1 species